GGGGAACAUCUACGAGGUCAGAUGUUGCCCGAUACAAACUUCCCACACUAAAACUCUAUCAUAAGAUGCUUGAGGUACUUGAGUGAGUUCUUCAAGCUGUUGAUCAGGAGGCACAUAA
rnacentral:snoRNA from 15 species